rnacentral:lncRNA from 13 species
CAGCUUUUGCAGACAGAAGAAGGCAGAAACAAAGAACAAACAGCACGUUGGUCAUUUCAAAGUUACUUUCCUCACAGAGUCUCACUCUGUUGCACAGGCUGGAGGGAAGUAGUGCAAUCUCAGACCUCAGAUGAUCUUGGGCUCACUGCAACCUCCACCUCCACUGCCAAGUAGCUGGGAUUUCAGGGUCCUGCUCUGAUACCCAGGCUGCAAUGCAGUGGGUGAUCACAGCUCACUGCAGCUUUGGACUCUGGGGCUCAAGUGAUCCUCCUGCCUCAGCCUCCCAAGUAGCCAGGACUACAGAUGGAGUUUUGUUGCCCAGACUGGAGUGCAAUGGCGUGAUCUCAGCUCACAGCAACCUCCGCCUCCCAAGUUCAAGUGAUUCUCCUGCCUCAGUCUCCUGGGUAACUGGGAUUACAGGCGCCCACCACCAUGCCUGCCUAAUUUUUCAUAUUUUUAAGAGAGAUGGGUUUUUGCCAUGUUGGCCAGGAAGGUGUUGAACUCCUGACCUAACGUUAUUCACCUGCCUUGGCCUCCCAAAGUGCUGGGAUUACAGGUGUGAGCCACCCCACCUGGUUGAAGAAAAAUAUUUUGAAUAAGCUUAGUGUAGCCUGUGA